rnacentral:rRNA from 1 species
AGCGAACGCUGGCGGCAGGCCUAAUACAUGCAAGUCGAGCGGUCCCUUCGGGGGCAGCGGCGGACGGGUGAGUAACGCGUGGGAAUAUGCCCUUUGGUACGGAACAACUGAGGGAAACUUCAGCUAAUACCGUAUGUGCCCUUCGGGGGAAAGAUUUAUCGCCAUUGGAGUAGCCCGCGUUGGAUUAGGUAGUUGGUGAG